UUUCCGUAGGUGAACCUGCGGAGGGAUCAUUACCGACUUCUCGCCCUCGCGGGUAGAUCUCCCACCCACUGUUAUCGUUACUGUCGUUUCUUUGGCGGGCCUCGCGUUCCCCGUCGGCCGGCUACAACCAGGCUGCAGUCGCCCGCCGGGGGCGUUAGAACCCUAAUUAUUACUACUGUCAAAAACCGAUCUAAUAGUUAAAGCUUUCAACAAGGACGCACUUGGUUCGGGCAUCGAUGAAGAAAACACCAGACCGAAUUCCCAAACUUCUGAACCCCC
rnacentral:misc_RNA from 1 species